AACAAAGUAAAGAAAAGUUAGAAAAUUAUGUAUUUUAAAAAAAUGGUAUUCUGAUUCAACGCCAAAAUAUGUAAUCUCUUGAGAUUCGCCGCACGUCUUGAGAUUCUCUGUGACCCGGAUGAGAUUUUAUUUAUGAAGACCGUUUUUCGAGCGUUGGGUGUUGCGGGAAUUUUAUCGUAUUGUCACACAUACUCCUCCGUGAUCUCGGUCGCUUCGCGAAUUGACGAGGACUCGAGAAAGCGGAUCUUGCGGGCGUAAAACCUGAGGAGGAAUCUUGGAAUGCAUGACUUACAAUCAAUGGAAAAAAUUUUUAAUCCUUGAUAAAUAAUAUGUGAAAAAUAUUUAUAAAACAACAAAAAUAUCCAUUUGACGAAAAUCCUCAUGGAUGACACUUGACAUGUGAUGGAACACGUGCAGUUUGAAUAGCUUCGUUGCGGAUCGCACAAAAUACGGUGGUUGAAUAUUUCGUACCGGAAAAUAUACUCUUACUAGCGAUAUAUGCUGUACACGUUUGACCCCCGUGCGUGAAUUUUUAACAAACUUAAGCAGAUUCCCCGAUCCGCCACCGCGUGUCCAUUCGCAAGUACACGGUUUAUUGACCCCGCGGUUACAGAUCGGUGAACCUGAUGGCGAGGUUCUUUCGUACGCCGGCCUACACUGCUACGUCCAACCCAAAUUCUGCUCGAAAUGUCAAUGUCGAGGCAACUAUAGACAACGUGAAAUUGGCGGACGUGGGAGGUCGGUGAAAUCGAUAGAGAGAUAACGCAAAACGUAGCGUAAAUUCGUUAUUCUAUACGAGAACAUUGUAUUUCACGAGUGUAUUGAAAGUUUUUAAAAAUGACUUUUUUUUUAUUUUUUUUUUAUUCAAAGGUAAUUGAAUUUUUUAAAUUUUUAUUUUUAAAUUAUAUCGAGAUAGUGAUAUAACGAUUAUUGUCAUUUCAGCAUAGGCGAGCAAUAUCACGAAAAACUGGUUAGAAACAUGGAACGAUCGUUUCGCGACUUGACCCGAUUCGAGCAAACUAAUAGGAGUAAGACUUUCGCUUCCAUGACAGGCACAAUUGCCAAACAUCUUCCGGAAUUCUUCGCGAUGGCUCAGAUAAUUAACCUUUUCCCCUAGAACCUUUAACGACCUCGAUACGUGGCUCAAGUCCCGUUCGUUCUCUUCGAAUCGAGAUAAGUAUUCCCUUUAUCCUAUAUAGUUCAGAUCGAUUCACAUUGAUAAUUGUUCUUUUUCUUUCUAUUCGUUUUCCACUUUAAUUUUACGUUCUAUUCUCUUCGAGAUUAAAAAAA